AGUCGAACGGUAACAGGAAGAAGCUUGCUUCUUUGCUGACGAGUGGCGGACGGGUGAGUAAUGUCUGGGAAACUGCCUGAUGGAGGGGGAUAACUACUGGAAACGGUAGCUAAUACCGCAUAACGUCGCAAGACCAAAGAGGGGGACCUUCGGGCCUCUUGCCAUCGGAUGUGCCCAGAUGGGAUUAGCUAGUAGGUGGGGUAACGGCUCACCUAGGCGACGAUCCCUAGCUGGUCUGAGAGGAUGACCAGCCACACUGGAACUGAGACACGGUCCAGACUCCUACGGGAGGCAGCAGUGGGGAAUAUUGCACAAUGGGCGCAAGCCUGAUGCAGCCAUGCCGCGUGUAUGAAGAAGGCCUUCGGGUUGUAAAGUACUUUCAGCGGGGAGGAAGGGAGUAAAGUUAAUACCUUUGCUCAUUGACGUUACCCGCAGAAGAAGCACCGGCUAACUCCGUGCCAGCAGCCGCGGUAAUACGGAGGGUGCAAGCGUUAAUCGGAAUUACUGGGCGUAAAGCGCACGCAGGCGGUUUGUUAAGUCAGAUGUGAAAUCCCCGGGCUCAACCUGGGAACUGCAUCUGAUACUGGCAAGCUUGAGUCUCGUAGAGGGGGGUAGAAUUCCAGGUGUAGCGGUGAAAUGCGUAGAGAUCUGGAGGAAUAC
rnacentral:rRNA from 1 species